rnacentral:rRNA from 1 species
GGGUGAUCUGCCCUGCACUUCGGGAUAAGCUUGGGAAACUGGGUCUAAUACCGGAUAGGAGCCAUCUUUAGUGUGGUGGUUGGAAAGUUUUUCGGUGUAGGAUGAGCUCGCGGCCUAUCAGCUUGUUGGUGGGGUAAUGGCCUACCAAGGCGGCGACGGGUAGCCGGCCUGAGAGGGUGUACGGCCACAUUGGGACUGAGAUACGGCCCAG